UCUUGAACAGCUUCAAGAGGUGUACCAU
rnacentral:sRNA from 1 species